AAUGAACGCUGGCGGCAUGCCUAACACAUGCAAGUCGAGCGGACAGACAAUAAGCUUUUUCUCCUGCCGUUAGCGACUGACGGGCGAGUAACACGUGGAUCACCUACCUCUAUUACUGGGAUGACUACGGGGAACCACUGCCACUACCGGAUCAUAUAUUCAACGGCAUAGAUCAAUAGAGAAUGACGGUUUUGCCGUCUCUUAUAGAUGAAUCCGGGCCGCAUUGUCGAGGUGGUAAGGUAACGGCUUACCAAGGCAACGUUGCGUAGCCGAGCUGAGAGGGUGAUCGGCCACACUGGAACUGAGACACGGUCCAGACUCCUACGGGAGGCAGCAGUAGGGAAUGUUCGGCAAUGGGCGAAAGCCUGACGGAGCCACGCCGCGUGAGUGAUGAAGGUCUUCGGAUCGUAAAACUCUGUUAUUGGGGAAGAACAAAUGUGUAAGUAACUAUGCACGUCUUGACGGUACCUAAUCAGAAAGCAACGGCUAACUACGUG
rnacentral:rRNA from 1 species